rnacentral:lncRNA from 1 species
AGACAUCAUCAAAAUAAUCUAAAGCUGAAUAAUAUGAGACAAUUAAAAUAAUUCAUCCCAACCCAUAUAAAUAAUUGGAUUUCAUCCAAUUACUCAACAUGGCUUAUGCACUUUUUAAAAACUUGGCCCUUGCCAAAAAUUCAUUCUCAGGGAUACCCCGCGAAGGCAUCUUACCGAGACCGCCAAGGCUGUUUAUUAUCACACACACAAACGCAUUUCACCUCUGACAACACAGCCGUUCCUCGGCGUUGACUGAGUCCUAGUUUCACGUGGUGGCCAGCGUGAAGUGUACUCAAAUCCUACCUCGAGAGUUAACCUACACACCUCUCCAAUCAAGGUAAGCUCCAUAAUUGGGAACCGUGCCCCUCUAAUUAGGCUGGCCCACGGAACCCCUGUCACUGCAGUGCCCACUUUAUAAUCCACCAACCAAUAAAAUCACAAUAGUAUGACAUGGCUCACUUAACACACAGUUCACAUAUUCUUAAAAUCAUAAAAAUAACCAGUCAUACCCACAUUUAUCGUAAGCCAUUUAAUGUAAAAUCAUAAAUAAACAACACAAUCAUAGUAUAGGUCUCCAGUUACUCUAUUUUUGAAAUCAUUAUUAAAUUUGCAAAAAUUUUAUAAAAUUAUUUUAUAAAAUCUCAUUUUCCCAUAAAACACAAUAAUUUUCCAAUUAAACCAUUUUUCCAUAAAAUCACACAAUUAAAUAAAUCUACUCUAGAUAAUUAAGACGAUAGUAAGUUUACUCACUGUUUUAGGAGUCGAUAUAUUCCUAUUUUCAGUCUGCGGGUACAGUCCUUUACCCGUAUCAAAUGGCUCACCACCUAGCCAUAAUCCAUGGCACAUAUUUCAAUUAAAUUGUGUCUAACAGUCAUAAGUUAUUUCAGGCUCGAUAUAUAUGCAUGAU